CAUGGCGCUGGUGGCCGACCGUUCGCUCUCUCUGCUUGGUCCAGGUUGGUGACUUGAUCCUUACACUCCAGCCUGGUGUAGCUGAUGGAUCUGGCUGAGUUUCUGCUGUGUUCUCCAUCAGGCCUCAGCUGGGGGCCUGUGGCCGGCUCUCAGAUCCUCCUCCAGCGGUCCCGAGCCCCCCCUCGGCUUCACACACAGAUAAGAAGAGUAAGGCCCAGAUAAUGAUGAGGAAUGGUGCUAUAAUGAAAUGCAAGAGUGACCAGAGAAGAGCUUGCAGGGUCUCUAAUACCAUUUACCCAUGAUGCUGCAACAUCCAGUGAGCAGCCCGUGAAUGCUGACUUCCAAUGACUCAAUCAAAUAUUGUUACUGUGCUUUGUGUGUUGCCUUCACAAUGUGUUAAGUAUGUUGGAAAAUGUAAACUAUUAUCUGUUUUCUGGACAAGUUAAAUUUCCCGUUCUGAACCCUAGAGCCUCAAUGUAGAAUAACCUGUCUUCCAACCACGUCAUCUCUUGAAUUCCCCAAGCCUUAAUCACUGCAUUCCUAGAAUUCACUCUCUUUCAGUGGCCUCGCCCUUGCCUUGCACACACAGCAGAGAGGGUGCAUGAGGGGCUCACACAUGGAGUGAGUAGAGCAGUACCACUUAUGCAAGAAAUGUGUAUCCCCGCGCCCCCCCCCCCCAAGCACAGCCUCAGACUCACCUGGAGGGCAAGAAAUGACAGAAUGGAGAGGCUCAUUAACAUUGCAGAGUGUGUAUUGAAGAAUUCACCUUACCCAAGACAGGGCUGGUCUUUACCCUGGCUGCUGGGAGAUGAUCUAGAAUGUCCUGCCUGAAGGGAUGUCUUUGUUUGCCUGGGAGCCUUGGCUACCAGACAAUCUAACACUGAUCUAUAAUGGCAGCCUUGAGCCAUGCCACACCAGUUCUGACCUGUAGAGGAACCAGAGGCUAAAUGUAUUAGCUCAACUUCCAGGAAGGCUAGAGACUAAAGGUCCAUCAUGUGGGCAGGAAAAGCUUAAGCCCCAAUAAAAUCUCUGGACACCAAAGUUUCAGGUGAGCUUCCUGGUCAGCAGUGUCCCUGUAUAAUGUCACACACUGUGGCAGGAGGAGGCCACGCUGUCCGUAAUUCCACAGGGAGACCAGAGCUCUGCAUUUGGACCCCUCCUGGGCCCUAUCCUAUAUGCCUCUUCCUUUCACGGACUUUAAUUUGGAUCCUUUCUCUGUAAUAAACUGUAACCA